AUAGCUUUUUAUUACAUUCAGAAAACCAUCACAUAACAAUAAAAUAUAUUUGUACAGACAGCAAUAUAGCUAUAUACUGCAUAAUGUAGGUUUAGGAAUGCCACAUUUGCUCCUUGUUAGUAUGUAAAGAGAAAAACAUUAGUACUUUAUGAAAAUUAGUUUGGAGCCAUUGAUCACUUUAACCUUACUUUCCUUAGUAGUUAAAAUUUGUCUUGUUCUUUUGUAUGUGGGUGGCUGUAUAGCACUGGGAAUUGGCUGCAUAUCACUAGGAAAUGCCAUCACUUUCUGAUCAGUGGGGUCAAUCGGCCAAGAACCCCCGCCGAGACCCAGACUGCCGGGACUCCUAUUAAUCCUCUAAGUCUUCUCACCAUUUCUGCGUGCACUGCACCACACCUACCCACUUACUGUUUUUGCCUGUACCGCACCACACCUACUGUACCCACCUACUGUGCAGUAAAAAUGCAGCUCGGCCCCAUUGAUACUGUAUAGAUAUAUUCACACUCUUAUCUUCAUUUGUAAAACUAUGCAAGUUUGUUAAGGGGUUAUUUCUAUCUAGACAUUUAUGGGAUAUAGCUGUAGGUCCCUUUUCAUCUCAUGGCAUACAUGGCUCUCUUCAUUCAUUUCUAUGGGGGUUCCAAAAAUAGCCACGGAAGCAUGCUUGACUAUGUGCGGGCUCCACCACAAGGAAUGUGUGGCUUUCUCCAUUUAUUUGUAUGGGUAUUCCCCCCUCCAAAAAAUGGAAGCACGCUUGACUAUGUGUGGUCCCCUGUCCAUUUGCUGUGCUUGUGAGAUGGGGCCCUGUUCUUCACCUCUUGGACAUGCACCUAUCUCAAGAAAAGGUCCCCAUCUUAAGGAAUGCACGACUCUCUCCAUUCAUUUCUAUGGAUGUUCCAAAAAUGUCCAUGGAAGCAUGCUUGGCUGUUGUUGGAACUGCCAUAGAAGUGAAUGGAGAGACCUACAUAUCCACGGCCACCUCUCCAUUUUCAGCAGCUGUGAGACAGGACCCUGUUCUCUACCUCUUGGACCAGCACCUUUUGAACAUUUUAUGGCAUAUUCUGUGGAUAUGCCAUAAAUGUCCAGAAGGGACAUGGGACUAUUAUCUGACUGAUUAUCAAAAAAAGAACUUUCUUACGAAUGCUCGUUCCCAAUAAUCGGCCUGGGUAAAGAUGCUGUCAAUCACCCUAUGAACAAGCAGGCACUCGUACAUCAGGUGAAUUCAUUGUUUAUGCUGAUAUAUAAGGCCAGUUUUUACACAUUCUGUUUGGUCAGUUAUUUCCAUCAGUAA